rnacentral:rRNA from 1 species
UGGGCNUGCAGUUGACGAGAAGCUUUCAAUUGAUUCUUCGGAUGAUUUUGUUAGUGGAAAGUAGCGAAAGGGUGAGUAACGCGUGAGCAAUCUGCCUUCAAGUCGGGGAUAACAGUUGGAAACGACUGCUAAUACCGGAUGUGGAUAUUUUAUCGCAUGUUUAAAUAUCUAAAGGUUUACUGCUUGAAGAUGGGCUCGCGUACCAUUAGCUAGUUGGUGAGGUAACGGCUCACCAAGGCGACGAUGGUUAGGUGGUCUGAGAGGACGAUCACCCACACUGGGACUGAGACACUGCCCAGACUCCUACGGGAGGCUGCAGUCGAGAAUCUUCCGCAAUGCGCGAAAGCGUGACGGAGCAAUACCGAGUGUGUGAUGAAGGUCUUAGGAUUGCAAAGCACUGUCAACAGGGACGAAGAUCUGACGGUACCUGUAGAGGAAGCACCGGCUAAAUACGUGCCAGCAGCCGCGGUAAUACGUAUGGUGCAAGCGUUAUUCGGAUUUAUUGGGCGUAAAGGGUCCGUAGGCGGUUUAUUAAGUCUGAUGUGAAAUCCUAUGGCUCAACCAUAGAACUGCAUUGGAAACUGAUGAACUUGAGUAUCGGAGGGGUAAGCGGAAUUCCUGGUGUAGCGGUGGAAUGCGUAGAUAUCAGGAGGAACACCGAGAGCGAAGGCAGCUUACUGGACGAAAACUGACGCUGAGGGACGAAGGCAUGGGGAGCGAAAAGGAUUAGAUACCCUUGUAGUCCAUGCAGUAAACGUUGUGUACUAGUUGUGGGAGGAUUUAGCCCCUUCCGUGACUGANCUAACGCAUUAAGUACACCGCCUGGGAACUANNNCCGCAAGGCUAAAACUCAANNNNAUUGANNGGACCCGCACAAGCGGUGGAGCAUGUGGCUUAAUUCGAGNCAACGCGAA